UUCUUCCUCCGGAAGGAAACAGUGGAUGAAAUAGAGUUCCAACACAACUUUUGCAUUAGCUGAUAAACGGGCCGUGCUGGAUAAUAUUGAUGUCACAGUGUGGGAAGAUCAGCUGGAAAGGGAACUACUGAUCUGCCUGUGUCGAAGGUACGUCACGAAGGUGGAGACCUAUUCCACAUGAAAGGAUGCGAUACUAAAGAAUGGGGGGUUCUGCCCUACGCUAGGGGAAAUUAACAGAUCUUGUACUAUGCUUGUCCCUGCUUUGACAUUUGCAUUGCGUGUCAAUCACGGCGGGCACGCCCAUUCCUGCGCGAACUCGGAGCAGAAAUUGUCAGCUCUGAGGAAGCCAAUCCUCCCUGUUUGUGUUCUUGGCUAUAAAAAACUGUAGCUCGACAUAAUUUCUCUGGGAGAAAGAGCUUGUGGAGUCAUAAGCCAUACAGAAUGUUGUGACUCCAGUUGAUACUGUCAAGCUAUGAUCGACGAUUUGAAAACAAGAUGCUGCCAACUUUUACUUGUGAACAUAAGAAAAUGGAUCCUGGAACUGAAUAAGUUAUCAUUAGCCCAAGGAGGACUGCUAAAAGUGCCAUUGAACACUUGCUCAUUUUUUGAAGAUCUUUGAACAAAAAGUGAUUUGCAACUUCUCUCAUACUAACAGGGGAGAGUUGACCCAUUGCUUGGGGAGCCGUGCCUUUUUACAAGUGGCCUCUACAUUUCAGAAAGUUCAAUUUUUUUUCCCAAAUAAUAUUUUUGACAAUUCAUUAAAUCAAGACUGAGAAUUUUUAAUAGUUCUGUGAAAAUUCAGAAACAAAUGGAUUUGAAAUUUUCUCUGUUAAAAAAUAAAACAUUUAAAUUGC